ACAAUGGAGAGUUUGAUCCUGGCUCAGGAUGAACGCUAGCGGCAGGCCUAAUACAUGCAAGUCGAACGAGAUUUUAUCUUUCGGGAUAAAUGACAGUGGCGCACGGGUGCGUAACGCGUAUGCAACCUACCCUUAACUGGAGGAUAGCCCGGAGAAAUCCGGAUUAAUACUCCAUAGUAUCAUUAGAUGGCAUCAGAAUAUGAUUAAAGAUUUAUUGGUUAAGGAUGGGCAUGCGUGACAUUAGCUAGUUGGUGAGGUAACGGCUCACCAAGGCAACGAUGUCUAGGGGUUCUGAGAGGAUGAUCCCCCACACUGGUACUGAGAUACGGACCAGACUCCUACGGGAGGCAGCAGUAGGGAAUAUUGGUCAAUGGGCGAGAGCCUGAACCAGCCAUGCCGCGUGCAGGAAGACGGCCUUCUGGGUUGUAAACUGCUUUUAUACAGGAACAAAAAGGCCAUGCGUGGCAAACUGAGUGUACUGUAUGAAUAAGCACCGGCUAACUCCGUGCCAGCAGCCGCGGUAAUACGGAGGGUGCAAGCGUUGUCCGGAUUUAUUGGGUUUAAAGGGUGCGUAGGUGGUCAAUUAAGUCAGU
rnacentral:rRNA from 1 species